rnacentral:tRNA from 2 species
GGAGAGGUGGCUGAGUGGUCCAUAGCGAGAGGUUGCUAACCUCUUGAGCCUUUAAAAGCUCACGUGGGUUCAAAUCCCACCCUCUCCG